rnacentral:lncRNA from 10 species
UUAACAUUCUUUAUGAUUUCAUCUUACUGACCAAUUGGCAUGUGGUUAACCACUCUUCCACUCUUAAAACACCCUUGGCUUCCCUGAGACCAUGUUCUUUGGAUUUUUUCCCAUACCAUUGGCUUUUGUUUCACUCCUUUGGGUUUUCUUUCUUUGCUCAACUCCUAAAUUUUUGAGUACUCUAUAGGCUUGAUUUUGGUUUCUCU